AUUGAACGCUGGCGGCAGGCCUAACACAUGCAAGUCGAGCGGAGCGGCGGACGGGUGAGUAAUGCCUAGGAAUCUGCCUGGUAGUGGGGGAUAACGUCCGGAACCGGGCGCUAAUACCGCCUACUAUCCGCUUAGCCUAGGUCGGAUUAGCUAGUUGGUGGGGUAAAGGCCUACCAAGGCGACGAUCCGUAACUGGUCUGAGCGGAUGAUCAGUCACACGGGAACUAGGACACGGUCCAGACUCCUACGGGAGGCAGCAGUGGGGAAUAUUGGACAAGGGGCGAAAGCCUGAUCCAGCCAUGCCGCGUGUGGGAAGAAGGUCUUCGGAUUGUAAAGCAAUUUAAGUUGGGAGGCGUUACCAACAGAAUAAGCACCGGCUAACUUCGUGCCAGCCGCCGCGGUAAUUC
rnacentral:rRNA from 1 species